rnacentral:misc_RNA from 1 species
UGUCAUUCGACGUUGUGUAGAAUAUGCAGAUAAGUAUGAAAAUGAGGAUGAAAAUGAAGAUGUCAUCAUUGUACAGGAAAGUAGUGAAGAUGAUUCUGAACAAUGGGAUUGUGAGACUAUCAUUUCCACAUAUUCAAAUCUUGAUAACCACCCUGCUAAAAUUGAAGCUCCUGGAGCUGCUAGAAAAAAGAAGAUAGCUGAAACUGUCUCUGGAACCUUGAAUGCAACCAGUCACAUGAUAACCCUUCGAGGAAAGGAGAAGCUUCCUGUAGACUUCUUGCCUCGUGGUAGAAAAUCGGAUGUGGAAAAAGUGAAGGGUGUGCCUGGCAUAAAAACUGAGCCUCUGAAGAGGAAGCAACAUGGCCAGGAGUCAAAGGAGGAGAAGAAAGAGCGAAAGGCUGCUGUGAAGGAGGAAAGGCGUGAAGCUAGACAUGCGAAGAAAGAAAUGAAGGGGCUCUACCGAGAUGAAGCACAACGUGCUCAGAGAGUUGCUGCCAUAGCUGGUCCAUCUUCAAUUCGUCUUUUGUAAUUUGGCAUCAGAUUGUUGCUUAAGCAAUAUGGUCUUCUAGGAUGAUUCUCAUUUUUUUGCAAAGCCAAGCCGAGGAAAGCACUUUAAGCAUCCAUUUUUUUUUUAUGAGAAAGUAUGCCAAAUGAUUGAUUCAUCCCUGAAUUCCAGGUGGAGCAGAGUUAUUGUCAAUUGAUUUGAGUUAUACAGAUUUUGCUGUUUUGUUGUUGGAAUGCUAUAUAUAGGUUGUAAAGCACAGUGAAGUCUGAAGCUUAUGGCUAUCUUGGUUGAAACGUGCAUAAAUUGAACUUGUCUCCACUUAUUUAAACUGCAGUAACUAUGAAACUAUAUUAGUUAGUAGCAUGACACUGUAAUUAAGCGAGUGAGAAUACAAGUUGGCUGUGUGGGAGGAAGAAAUAUCAUUGUACUAUGAAUUCAUGAAACUUCUCCAUGGGGAAUGGGAGAGUAAAUUCCUUCACCUGAUCUAGGUGAUGGAUACCAAGG